UACGUAGGGGGCAAGCGUUGUCCGGAUUUAUUGGGCGUAAAGAGCUCGUAGGCGGUUUGUCGCGUCGAAUGUGAAAACCCGGGGCUCAACCCCGGGCCUGCAUUCGAUACGGGCAGACUAGAGUUCGGUAGGGGAGUCUGGAAUUCCUGGUGUAGCGGUGAAAUGCGCAGAUAUCAGGAGGAACACCGGUGGCGAAGGCGGGACUCUGGGCCGAUACUGACGCUGAGGAGCGAAAGCGUGGGGAGCGAACAGG
rnacentral:rRNA from 1 species